rnacentral:rRNA from 1 species
GAUGAACGCUGGCGGCGUGCUUAACACAUGCAAGUCGAACGGUGAAGCAGAGCUUGCUCUGUGGAUCAGUGGCGAACGGGUGAGUAACACGUGAGCAACCUGCCCUGGACUCUGGGAUAAGCGCUGGAAACGGCGUCUAAUACUGGAUACGAGACGUGGCCGCAUGGUCAACGUUUGGAAAGAUUUUUUGGUUCAGGAUGGGCUCGCGGCCUAUCAGCUUGUUGGUGAGGUAAUGGCUCACCAAGGCGUCGACGGGUAGCCGGCCUGAGAGGGUGACCGGCCAACAUGGGAAUGAGACACGGCCCAGACUCCUACGGGAGGCAGCAGUGGGGAAUAUUGCACAAUGGGCGAAAGCCUGAUGCAGCAACGCCGCGUGAGGGAUGACGGCCUUCGGGUUGUAAACCUCUUUUAGCAAGGAAGAAGCGAAAGUGACGGUACUUGCAGAAAAAGCGCCGGCUAACUACGUGCCAGCAGCCGCAGUAAUAC